GAUGAAGAACGCAGCGAAAUGCGAUAAGUAAUGUGAAUUGCAGAAUUCAGUGAAUCAUCGAAUCUUUGAACGCACAUUGCGCCCGCCAGUAUUCUGGCGGGCAUGCCUGUCUGAGCGUCAUUUCAACCCUCACGCCCCUAGGGCGUGGUGUUGGGGAUCGGCCAAAGCCCGCGAGGGACGGCCGGCCCCUAAAUCUAGUGGCGGACCCGUCGUGGCCUCCUCUGCGAAGUAGUGAUAUUCCGCAUCGGAGAGCGAUGAGCCCCUGCCGUUAAACCCCCAACUUUCCAAGGUUGACCUCAGAUCAGGUAGGAAUACCCGCUGAACUUAAGCAUAUCAAUAAGCGAGGA
rnacentral:misc_RNA from 1 species